rnacentral:rRNA from 1 species
GACGAACGCUGGCGGCGUGCCUAAUACAUGCAAGUAGAACGCACUUGCGAACGGGGGAGUAGCGCGUUGGUACCUACCUGUUAGAGGGGUAUGACUAUUGGGAACAAUAGCUAAUACCGCAUACUAGUAGAUGGACCUGCGUUGGAUUAGCUAGUAGGUAGGGUAAUGGCCUACCAAGGCAACGAUACAUAGCCGACCUGAGAGGGUGAGCGGCCACACUGGGACUGAGACACGGCCCAGACUCCUACGGGAGGCAGCAGUAGGGAAUCUUCGGCAAUGGGGGGAACUCUGACCGAGCAACGCCGCGUGAGUGAAGAAGGUUUUCGGAUCGUAAAGCUCUGUUGUUAAGGAAGCGGUACUUAACCAGAAAGGGACGGCUAACUACGUGCCAGCAGCCGCGGUAAUAC